ACAGCCAAAACAAGGAUGAAGCACAGUCAAUAGCUCCUGGAGCAUCAGCUUUUACUACACUCUGGCCCAGAUCCUUUCUUGAGUCAGCCAAUGUCAACAGGUAGGUAACUGAAGGUCCUCAGUUGUUCUGACAGAAAUCAAAAGUCUGAUGUACCCAUUAUGAGGCAUGAUCAAAUCAUACAGUGGAUGUUUAAAUUUUUUUAAAAAAUCAUUACAGUAAAAGACACAUUGCCACGAAUCCCCUUUGAGAUGCCCUCCUCUCUUGGAACACACUCACCUCGUCAUUCCUGCCACCUUCUUAUGCAAUUCUGGAAGUCUUCCUUCAUGCCUUUAGUUCUACUAUAGUUGCUUUGAUGUCCUGAACUAAUUCAAAAUGUUUAAUUUUCAUGGUCAUGUUGACUCUAGGGAAAAGCCAGAGCCACAGUGUGAAUAUUUUGAAUGGAUUCGGGACACUGAGUCAGCCACAAAAAGGCGCUCUCCAAAGAGGACUUGCAGAACCACUUCAGAAAGUGGAAAGCAUGGUGGAAUAAGCACGCCUGAAGUAGGGGAGGAUAUUCUGAAGGGAGAAGAAAGAGUUUAUGUGUGCAGGUCCCAGUAUCCUCAGACAAUUCUCAUGCAUAUCCAGGACUGAGAACCCCUCCCAAAGAGAAAUCCCCACCAUCUGGGGAAACCUGAAGGAGAAAAUAACUAAGUGCAUUGUUUUCUUGGUAGUAGGUUGAUCCUGAGAGGCAGAACAUCUGUUUGUGAUCUACUCUGAAGGAACAAGUGUUAUGGUUUAUGUCUGUGUGUCCCCCCAAAGCCUCAUGCGGCCAUAGGGCAGGCUUUUAGAGUUUGAAGGGUGUGAGAGCUGCACCUGCCCUGGGGUGGAUAGUUUGCAUAUGUAAGGGAGAGGAAGAGAGUGCUUGAGGCCAUUCUUGCCCCAUGCUGCCUUGGUGUGUGUUUGUUGCUUUUGCUGUGUUCUGUGCUAGGAGCUGUAGCUCUCUGCCAUGUGCCACUCUGCCUUAUAAUCUGCCAAGUACGGACUGAAACCUCCACAAACUGUAAGUGAAAUAAACCUUUCCUUCCUUCAUUUUGGCCCUCAGGUAUUUUGUCCCAGCAAUGAGAAAAAAGUAACGAAAACAACAAGCCUGUGUGGUUGCUUUCUCUCCUACAAUUUCUAGAGAAGUGACCUAGCUUGGAGGAAUACGGGCGAGUUGUAGUUAAGGUAACUGCUAGAGAUUGCCCACUACUGAAAAUCUUCUGUAUCAAAAUCAAGAGUGUCCCAGGCAGAGUGGCAUGAUGACGGAUUGUCUUCUGACUGAAUCAGCAUCCUAGGGACUGAAGCCUCAAAUACAGACCAGGGGAGCCUGCCCAGGUAGGGGGGCCUCUGUUCUCGGCUCCAGUUUCCUCUAGCAGUGGAGCAGGCAUCUCUGGGGGAAUCCUAUAGCCACAGGUUGGGCAUAAGUAGGUGCAGCAACCAAGAUGGAGUGAGGGCCAGAGAGUUUCCUUACUUCUGCAUGAAGCAAGCACUGUGGAUCUGGAGAGUCCCACAACAGUCAAGAAGUCUUCUUAGAACGACCAGAUUGGAUUUCCUGCCAAUCCAGAAGGAUGGAGCAAAGCCAGGCUGGAUGACAUUAAGAUAAAUAAUGACAUGCGAUGUGUGUCACACUUCAGUGCUGGAUACACUCUUUAAAAAACAAUAAAGUCCUACAUUAGUUAAGUGGGGGAGGGAGAAAUAUGGAGAUUUACAAAGAACUUAGAAAACGAAAUGGCAAGGAGUAUAUCUAAACCAUCCUAGGUCCUGAUCCUUGUGUUGAGUGGCCCUGGGACCAAACAUGAGUGAUUUAGGUGCUUAUUCAAGAAAUUGCUUGCUCCUGGAAGCUUAGACAGUGACCACCUGCACGGCUUACUUAUCAAGACCACAGCUUGGC
ensembl:lincRNA